rnacentral:tRNA from 1 species
GCGGGAGUAGCUCAGUUGUUAGAGCAUCAGCUUCCCAAGCUGAGGGUCGCGGGUCCAAGUCCCGUUUCCCGCU